rnacentral:rRNA from 1 species
CAGUAGCCGCGGGAAUACGAAGGGGGCUAGCGUUGCUCGGAAUGACUGGGCGUAAAGGGCGCGUAGGCGGUUUUGACAGUCAGAUGUGAAAUUCCUGGGCUUAACCUGGGGGCUGCAUUUGAGACGUCAAGACUAGAGUGUGAGAGAGGGUUGUGGAAUUCCCAGUGUAGAGGUGAAAUUCGUAGAUAUUGGGAAGAACACCAGUGGCGAAGGCGGCAACCUGGCUCAUUACUGACGCUGAGGCGCGAAAGCGUGGGGAGCAAACAGGAUUAGAUACCCGUGUAGUCCCUGUCUCUUAUAC